rnacentral:rRNA from 1 species
CGAACGGGUGAGUAACGCGUGGGUAACCUGCCUCAUACAGGGGGAUAACGGUUAGAAAUGACUGCUAAUACCGCAUAAGCGCACAGUACCGCAUGGUACGGUGUGAAAAACUCCGGUGGUAUGAGAUGGACCCGCGUCUGAUUAGCUGGUUGGUGAGGUAACGGCCCACCAAGGCGACGAUCAGUAGCCGACCUGAGAGGGUGACCGGCCACAUUGGGACUGAGACACGGCCCAG